rnacentral:rRNA from 1 species
UGCAGUCGCACGAGAACUCUUUAGCUUGCUAAAGAUAGUAAAGUGGCGCACGGGUGAGUAACACGUGGGUAAUCUACCUCUGAAUCGGGGAUAACAUUGCGAAAGCGAUGCUAAUACCGGAUAAUAUCUUUUAAGCUUCGGCUUAUCAGAUCAAAGGUGGCCUCUACAUGUAAGCUACUGUUUGGAGAUGGGCCCGCGCACCAUUAGCUUGUUGGUGGGGUAAUGGCCCACCAAGGCAUCGAUGGUUAGCUGGUCUGAGAGGAUGAUCAGCCACACUGGAACUGACACACGGUCCAGACUCCUACGGGAGGCAGCAGUGAGGAAUUUUGCGCAAUGGGGGAAACCCUGACGCAGCAACGCCGCGUGAGUGAUGAAGGCCUUCGGGUCGUAAAGCUCUGUCAAGUGGGAAGAACCUGCUUUAUGCUAAUACCAUAUUGCACUGACGGCACCACUGAAGGAAGCACCGGCUAACUCCGUGCCAGCAGCCGCGGUAAUACGGAGGGUGUAAGCGUUAUUCGGAAUUAUUGGGCGUAAAGAGCGCGUAGGCGGUUUUUUAAGUCAGAUGUGAAAGCCCGAGGCUUAACCUCGGAAGUGCAUUUGAAACUAAGAGACUUGAGUAUGGGAGAGGGAAGUGGAAUUCCUGGUGUAGAGGUGAAAUUCGUAGAUAUCAGGAGGAACACCGGUGGCGAAGGCGACUUCCUGGACCAAUACUGACGCUGAGGCGCGAAGGCGUGGGGAGCAAACAGGAUUAGAUACCCUGGUAGUCCACGCAGUAAACGGUGAACACUAGGUGUAGC